AAAACUUUCAACAACGGAUCUCUUGGUUCUGGCAUCGAUGAAGAACGCAGCGAAAUGCGAUAAGUAAUGUGAAUUGCAGAAUUCAGUGAAUCAUCGAAUCUUUGAACGCACAUUGCGCCCGUCAGUAUUCUGGCGGGCAUGCCUGUUCGAGCG
rnacentral:rRNA from 1 species